UACGAAGGGUGCAAGCGUUAAUCGGAAUUACUGGGCGUAAAGGGUGCGUAGGCGGUUGUUUAAGUCUGUCGUGAAAUCCCCGGGCUCAACCUGGGAAUGGCGAUGGAUACUGGCGAGCUAGAGUGUGUCAGAGGAUGGUGGAAUUCCCGGUGUAGCGGUGAAAUGCGUAGAGAUCGGGAGGAACAUCAGUGGCGAAGGCGGCCAUCUGGGACAACACUGACGCUGAGGGACGAAAGCUAGGGGAGCGAAAGGG
rnacentral:rRNA from 1 species